ACAACAGCUCCUCGCUGGAGAAGCCCGCCUCCACGCCUGCGCCCGCUCCUGCCGUCGACAUGGUCCGUCACCGGAGAGCGCGGGCUAGCUGGCCGAGAGGACGCGCGGAGAACACUUCGCUUCUGAUGCUUGUGGUCACCAAAUGCGUGGAGGUUUUUUCCCCCACACAAUUCUCUCCAACACCAGCUCAAGUCUGACACCAUCAACCCGGAGAUGGGACCAGACCCCACAGGUUAAGGGCUCAGCCCCACAGGACUGCCCCGACCUCCACUUCAGCUGCCACUGCCCCCUGUGCUUCUGACUGACUCACUACAGACGGGAGGCUCCCACGAGCCCCUCCUAAGGUUAGUUUGCUAAAGCAGCUCACAUAACUCAAGGGAACACUUAGAAGUUUAUUAAAGGACAUGAAAAAAAGCCCCAAAAAUCAACAUCCAGGUGAAGGGAUGACAGGAAAAGGUCAGGAAGGGGCUCAAAUCCACAAACCGUGAGAUCAUGACCUGAGCCAAAACCAAGAGUCGGAUGCUUAACCAACUGAGCCACCCAGGUGCCCCAAUGACUUCAACCGAACAAAAAGGACCAGAAAUGAAGUAAAAGAUAAGCUAUAGGUCCACGGAAAUAGACUGCAAGUCAUUUAACAAAGGACUUAUAUUCAGCAUAUACAAAGAACUUCUACAAAUCAAGAAGAAAGACAUGAACAACAAAAAUGGGCAAAGAUAUGAAUAGGCAAUUCACUGGAAGGAAACACGAAUAUCCAAUAACCAAGACAUUCAGUAACCAGUGAUUUCUCCUGUCCUACUGAAUGGAUUAAUCCUGUCCACCGGCAAAAAUUUGCAUGGAUGUUCUACCUUAGGACAACAGCUCUCUUUCCCAUAUGUAUCUUUCCAGCGACUGUGCAUAUUUCUAUUUCCCUUCUUCCCUAAUGUCAAAGAAUUUAUAUAUAGUUGACACUUGAGCAAUGGAUCUUGGGCACUGACCACCACCACACAGCUGAAAAUCCACAUGUGACAUUGACUGCCCCCCUCUGCAACUUUACUACUAAUAGCCUACUGCUGAUCAGAAGCUUAACCAGUAACAUAAACAACACAGAUUUUGUGUCCUGUGUACUAUAUACUUUAUUCUUACGAUAAAGUAAGCCAGAGAAAAGAAAACCUUCUUAAGAAAAUCACAAGGAGGAGGAAAUACAUUUACAGUGCUGUGCUGCAAAAGACCUGUAUGUAAGUGCACCAGUGCAGUUCAAGCCUGUGGUGUUCAAGGGUCAGCUGUAGUUUUUGCCUUGCACUCCAGCAGGGCAUCAGUCCCCAGCAGUCCUGUGGAAUAGCUCCUGGCAAACUCAUCACAGCCUCCGGGUUUGCCAACCCACAGUCUCUGCUAAUCUUGUGUUUCAGGGUGUGGAGUGGCUGGGCAGCUGGCUCCUCUUGGGAACAUGAUGUCCUGGCUUCUGUGACUCUGCAGCUUUCCUGUGUAACCUCCAAAUGCUCAAGGGCCCCAGGCCUCAGUCCUAGGCCCUUUACUCUUUUUACUUUCUUCCUGGGCAAUCACAUGGAAUCCCAUACCUUCAAGUACUGUUUACAUACUGAUGAUUCCUAAAUUCAUGUCUCCGGCCUGGACCUUUCCUGCAGCCCAGACUCAUAAACCCAGCAGCUUAGUCCUUAUCUCCAUUAGGAUCUCUCCUAGACAACUCCACUGAUGCCCCAAAUGGAAUUCCUGAGUCACCCCUACACCUGUUACUCCCACUCACCACCCCACCCCCACUCUCUGUCUCUGUGAAAGACCCAGACAUGUCUACCCAGGGGCUCAAGUCCAGCACCCAGGGGCCAACGCUAUGCUCACAGUAGAUCUCGGUGGCUCUACCUCAAAUAUGUCUUCAGUGCACACGCUUCUUUCCAUCCCUACCACCCCAAGACAUGCUUUCCUGCUUAAACCAGUGUGACUGCCUCUUGGCUUUUCUUGUUCAGGAUAUAAAUCCAACAAUGGCUCCGGCUUAAAACCUGCCAAUAUCUCUCCACUAAUAGUAAAAGAAUAUCCACAUGGCACAGACUUGAAUGUCGGGGCUCGUGCACUGUCCCCAAACCUCCCGUGUGUCUCUGCAUUGACCGUCUGUCGUGUGCACCACACAUCACGACUCUCAGGAUUUCUGGACACCCCACUCUGUUCCGCUGAGGUUCUGUCUGUUCCUGAGCCACAAGUCUAGAGCCCGUAGCUUCAUAACACACCACUUGCCAGACCCCCUCUCAUGUCUGUGUUCCGAGAGGACAUCUCAACAACCACCACCCACUCCCUUUCUCCCCAACAUAGAUGAUCUCGGUCCACAACAACAUUUAAAGAUAGCAAUACAAAGACCGACGUCCUGGAAAACUAAAAAUUCUAACUUCCCAGGAGCAGAAAGGAAUAAAUGAAGGUGCGCGACGGUUGGGGAUUAUCCCCAAGAGCCUGCUGUAUAAAACCCGACGUGUUGUGCACCUUCCCAAGCCACGGCUCUUGCACCCAAAACACACAUGACGACUACUUAUUUUAAUUUGCAGACUUAACGUCCCAAAUGCAGCUUCAAACCAGGAAAUGAUGCACCGAGACUGGUUUGGAACAACAGGAGCAGCCCCCUCCGCUCUGCAGAGAACGGGACAGGGCAAAGCGGCAGAAGCCCCAUCGUGGAAUCGCACAUGGGAGCCUCACUCUCACCCUCACCCUCCUCCAGAGGCCUGUAUCGUCCUUCUCUCCUCCUUCACUGGUUACUCAGAAGAUGUGGGGUCUUCCCCUCCCGGCCAGGGCUAACCGGCCCUCCCCGUGCUCUUGACCUCAGGCUGCCACCUGUGGGGGGUGGACCCUGGGCAUAUAUAUCCUGCGGGUUCUGUUUCUCUGGGGAAUCCCGAUGGGUCCAUAGGCUGUGAGGUUACGUUUCUUCAAAGUUCAUCCUGUUAGACAACAGUAAGGUUUGGACACUCAUUUUUCAGGCUCAAUUAGACUUUCAUUUUUUGGUGGGAGUAUAAGGGAAAAAAACCACAUCACCUCUAAGUUAAUAUUUAAAUGUGUUCAUUUUAUUUGGCACUCCUUGAAUAAAGAGAUUCUUCUUUAUA